rnacentral:rRNA from 2 species
AGACCCGAAACCCGGUGAUCUAGCCAUGGGCAGGUUGAAGGUUGGGUAACACUAACUGGAGGACCGAACCGACUAAUGUUGAAAAAUUAGCGGAUGACCUGUGGCUGGGGGUGAAAGGCCAAUCAAACCGGGAGAUAGCUGGUUCUCCCCGAAAGCUAUUUAGGUAGCGCCUCGUGAAUUCAUCUCCGGGGGUAGAGCACUGUUUCGGCUAGGGGGCCAUCCCGGCUUACCAACCCGAUGCAAACUGCGAAUACCGGAGAAUGUUAUCACGGGAGACACACGGCGGGUGCUAACGUCCGUCGUGAAGAGGGAAACAACCCAGACCGCCAGCUAAGGUCCCAAAGUCAUGGUUAAGUGGGAAACGAUGUGGGAAGGCCCAGACAGCCAGGAUGUUGGCUUAGAAGCAGCCAUCAUUUAAAGAAAGCGUAAUAGCUCACUGGUCGAGUCGGCCUGCGCGGAAGAUGUAACGGGGCUAAACCAUGCACCGAAGCUGCGGCAGCGACACUGUGUGUUGUUGGGUAGGGGAGCGUUCUGUAAGCCUGUGAAGGUGUGUCGUGAGGCAUGCUGGAGGUAUCAGAAGUGCGAAUGCUGACAUAAGUAACGAUAAAGCGGGUGAAAAGCCCGCUCGCCGGAAGACCAAGGGUUCCUGUCCAACGUUAAUCGGGGCAGGGUGAGUCGACCCCUAAGGCGAGGCCGAAAGGCGUAGUCGAUGGGAAACGGGUUAAUAUUCCCGUACUUGGUGUUACUGCGAAGGGGGGACGGAGAAGGCUAUGUUGGCCGGGCGACGGUUGUCCCGGUUUAAGCGUGUAGGCUGGUUUUCCAGGCAAAUCCGGAAAAUCAAGGCUGAGGCGUGAUGACGAGGCACUACGGUGCUGAAGCAACAAAUGCCCUGCUUCCAGGAAAAGCCUCUAAGCAUCAGGUAACAUCAAAUCGUACCCCAAACCGACACAGGUGGUCAGGUAGAGAAUACCAAGGCGCUUGAGAGAACUCGGGUGAAGGAACUAGGCAAAAUGGUGCCGUAACUUCGGGAGAAGGCACGCUGACACGUAGGUGAAGUGAUUUACUCAUGGAGCUGAAGUCAGUCGAAGAUACCAGCUGGCUGCAACUGUUUAUUAAAAACACAGCACUGUGCAAACACGAAAGUGGACGUAUACGGUGUGACGCCUGCCCGGUGCCGGAAGGUUAAUUGAUGGGGUCAGCGCAAGCGAAGCUCCUGAUCGAAGCCCCGGUAAACGGCGGCCGUAACUAUAACGGUCCUAAGGUAGCGAAAUUCCUUGUCGGGUAAGUUCCGACCUGCACGAAUGGCGUAAUGAUGGCCAGGCUGUCUCCACCCGAGACUCAGUGAAAUUGAACUCGCUGUGAAGAUGCAGUGUACCCGCGGCAAGACGGAAAGACCCCGUGAACCUUUACUAUAGCUUGACACUGAACAUUGAGCCUUGAUGUGUAGGAUAGGUGGGAGGCUUUGAAGUGUGGACGCCAGUCUGCAUGGAGCCGACCUUGAAAUACCACCCUUUAAUGUUUGAUGUUCUAACGUGGACCCGUUACCCGGGUUGCGGACAGUGUCUGGUGGGUAGUUUGACUGGGGCGGUCUCCUCCUAAAGAGUAACGGAGGAGCACGAAGGUUGGCUAAUCCUGGUCGGACAUCAGGAGGUUAGUGCAAUGGCAUAAGCCAGCUUGACUGCGAGCGUGACGGCGCGAGCAGGUGCGAAAGCAGGUCAUAGUGAUCCGGUGGUUCUGAAUGGAAGGGCCAUCGCUCAACGGAUAAAAGGUACUCCGGGGAUAACAGGCUGAUACCGCCCAAGAGUUCAUAUCGACGGCGGUGUUUGGCACCUCGAUGUCGGCUCAUCACAUCCUGGGGCUGAAGUAGGUCCCAAGGGUAUGGCUGUUCGCCAUUUAAAGUGGUACGCGAGCUGGGUUUAGAACGUCGUGAGACAGUUCGGUCCCUAUCUGCCGUGGGCGCUGGAGAACUGAGGGGGGCUGCUCCUAGUACGAGAGGACCGGAGUGGACGCAUCACUGGUGUUCGGGUUGUCAUGCCAAUGGCACUGCCCGGUAGCUAAAUGCGGAAGAGAUAAGUGCUGAAAGCAUCUAAGCACGAAACUUGCCCCGA